UUUCAGGGUGACAGGCCUCAUUUCAGGACCUAGGAAAAAUUGUUGCCAGGGACGGACUGGGCUAGCAGGGAGAAAACUAGAUGGGCCCUGGGUCUCAUACGCCUUGCCAACCCAGGACUACUGCCUGCCCAGACUCUGAGGGCCCCUCCAUCUUUUUGUCGAGGCUGCAAGAGAGAUGGAUGCAAGAGAUAUGGAAGGAGAAGGUAGUGAAGGUAGUGAGGGAGGUAUGUGGUGGGGCAGGAGGAAGCUUGCAAUAUGGGGAGAAGGGAGCGACAGGGGUGGUCCCUUGAGAUGGUGGCCCUAGUCUGACACUGAGUGUUCCAGCCUGCAGCUACUGGCUCAAGAAUUUUCCUAUUUUUUUCUGCUUUCCACUCAACUGUAAGUGAGAUGCUUAUGUAUUGACAACAAGAGUGUGUAUAACACACUAACAUAUUUUUCUGUUUUUUUUUUUAAUAGAAAUACGUGGCAGUGACCUGGAAUUGGUGUGGUCAAAAAUUUACAUUUCUGCAGGAUUCCAGAUUUCACCACAGCUUAAUCACCAAUGGGAAGCUAACAAGUGUGCUCAUAAGCCUACAACUAUACAAAAGCUAACUGGAAAUAUGGAUUUUAUUGACUACUCCCACAAACUUUGGAGUGGGGAUUUAUGGCAGUGAAUAUGUGCAAGCAGGAGCAGAUGCAAGGAUAUUCCAAGUAGGCUUUAAUUCUUCACUAGCGAGGCACAGCAUCAUGUUUCUGUCCAUGUGGAGCAAAUCCUUGACUGUCACUCCAAAAUGGAAUAAACAAAUCUUGGCCUGGAAAGAAUCAGGUUAUACAAUGUUGGUGCCCCAGCAUCUAAGCACCCAACUGGACGGGAGAAAUCUGUGCACACUGCGGUUUUAGGAACAAAAUAAGUAUACCAAAUCAAUUUAUUGUGAAGGACAAGAACGCACUGAGUCACAAAGGACUGAUUCUUCCCCAGUGUAUUGUGCCAGGGUUUUGGAUUGUUUUAUAGAACACUCAUCCAGUUCUGCACUGCCCUUCAGCUGAUGUGUAUGGUACCACCAUCUAUUCAUAUUCAGUUCAUUCACUUCUGCCUCACUUCUUUGUGUUGUCGUCAGCCAUACAAAAGGUAGGGUUUAGCAGCAAUUGUCUAUUUAAAGCACACAUGGCAAUGAAUGCAUUUAUUUUAAUAUUUGUAUGGAUUUGAGAAGUCAUAAACCAGUUAUUUAAGCAUUAUGCUUAAACUAUAAGCUCUUAAGGGAGGGGACAUCCUUAUCUCUGUGAGUCAAACUAUACACAGCUGCAUUCAAGAGUGAGUUCAUGGUCAAGAGUGAGUUGAUUUAUAUUUUAUUUUGUUCCAAUUAUUGAUUGUUUAAUGAAUCUGUUGUUUGCAAUGUGCAGAUCUGCAUGUAGCACUAUAUGAACAAAAAAUAUACAUAAAUACACUAAUAGAGUAGUUAACUGAUACAGAAAAAUUCUUCUAAACUAAAACAACACUAAACAGAAUUUGUACACAAAUACCACUAGCUAGGAAAUGAGUUACUCUCCUGUGUAAGCAAAUCCAGCAUGAGCAGUUCUGACACCAUUAAUAUCUUAUCUGCCUAUUCAUAUGGCAACAUACAUGUAUGAACAUAUCAGUGCAUAAUAGACAAGGAAAGCCUAUUACACUGGAGGGGAGUUAAUUUGUUUGGCACCCCCCAGAGAUUUAAAUCGGUAACCUUUUUCAUUAGGUCUGUGUGCCUCUUUUUUUAAAAAAAAAAAAAAAACAGUGGCCCAAGAGCUCUAUCUAUCUAAGCGCCGUGCUGUCAUCUUAAUCAUUUUUCCCAGGAAUGCCUAGACCAGUGAUCCCCAACCAGUGGCUCGUGAGCAACAUGUUGCUCUCCGACACCUUGGAUUCGAAGUCGAAGUAUUCCAAUUCAAUGGUCGCAUUUCGAAGCUUUUUCUACUUCGAAAUUCGACCCUUGAUAAAUCUGCCCCUAGGUGUAAGGGAUCCCAGGUUAGGAGGAGAAAGAUGGUUGUGAGUUGUUUAGAUAGAUAGACCCCCAGAAUGUUCAGCCAGUAUGGGAAAAAAGUUAGAGAUUUAAUUCAAGGGAGGGUACCGAACAAAUUGUCCCUCCAAGUAUAAUAGGUUUUCCUUUUCUUGUAAGCAUUGCCACAUUCAUAUAUGUGUACUGUACUGACAUAUGUCCUUUAAACAAGUGCCUUAUAUAAAGAUUUUAAAAAGAAUAGAAAAAAGUUGUUUGUCAAAGGUGAAUAACCUCUAAUUUCACCAAUAAAUUAGGCUUUUGGUUAUGGGCGUAUAUAUUACACUGCUCACGUGGAUAUCCAGUUGCUGUGAUUAUAUUGGAUUCCUCUACAAAAUGAAUCUUAAAGGGAUCCUUUCAUCGGAAAACAUGUUUUUUUCAAAACGCAUCAGUUAAUA